CGUUCAGAAAAGCUUCUGGGUUGAUCCCCCUGCGGUUGUAGUAGCCCAGGACCUGCCAGGGAACGGGGGGCAGGGGCAACAGACAGGACAUGGCACAGACUUCCCCCCAACACCCAGGGCAGGCUGGAGCAACUGCUCGAAGGUCUGGGCUGUCGUGGGACUCUCCAUCUGUGAUGACAAUCAUCACCUUCUUGGCCCCUUUCCUUCCGCCCUUCUGGAAAGCCUCUGAGCUGGAACCCGAGCACAGAGGAGGGUCACAGAGGGAAGUGGGGAUGGGGCAACCCCCCAAACUCCUGCAGAGGCGUGGCCACAGGAGCCAGGGCUAAGCUCCCUGGGCAACUCUACAGCUGUUGGAACCUCAAAUCAAAGAAGAAGCUGGAUUGAGACACCCAGACUACUUGUCUGCUGGCUGCUCAGAUGGGUCUUAAAUCUGCUUGUCUUUAUAUUUAUUAAAAAUUUUUUUUAAAUUUUAU